AGAGAGAGAGAGAGAGAGAUGAUGUUGAGUUUUGAGAAGUAAAACUGAGCGAGAGGAAAGAUGGAUGCUUCUUGUAAUAAUUUGAAGAUAAAGAAGAUGGAGGCUUUGUUUAACCUCACUCUCUGCGGUGGAGAGUGGAAAACAAGCGCCACCAUCACCCACCAGGCCGCCAGUAAUUGUGGUCCAUAACUCCAUUUUUUUUUUCGUGCUGUCCGUUAUGUAGCUGGUUUUGUAUGGAAUUUCCUGGAUCUGGGAAACGGUGGGAGCCUGAGAGGGCUCACAUGGGAGCUUCCAUCCCUCUCUCUCGUGUUUGUGUGAUUGCUUGCAGUGGAAACG
rnacentral:misc_RNA from 1 species